rnacentral:rRNA from 1 species
UACGAAGGGGGCUAGCGUUGCUCGGAAUCACUGGGCGUAAAGCGCACGUAGGCGGACUCUUAAGUCGGUGGUGAAAUCCUGGAGCUCAACUCCAGAACUGCCUUCGAUACUGAGAGUCUUGAGUCCGGGAGAGGUGAGUGGAACUGCGAGUGUAGAGGUGAAAUUCGUAGAUAUUCGCAAGAACACCAGUGGCGAAGGCGGCUCACUGGCCCGGUACUGACGCUGAGGUGA